GCUUGGUUAGUAUAGAUAGUACGAUUGGCUUAGGACUAAUAGGGAAUAUCAAGCU
rnacentral:tRNA from 1 species